AUGGGUAGAGCUAAUGCUAAUCCUAUUUGGAGCAAGAUAUGGAAGCUAUCUUGUCCGGCAAAGGUAAAAAAAUUCAUCUGGCGUACAUUGCAUGGUACCCUCCCGUGCCGAGUUACGCUUGCCAAUAGACACAUGAAAGUCUCGCCCAUAUGCCCAUCAUGUUCUAAUGGGCCAGAAGACACAAAACACGUCUUGUUUCUGUAAGGGAAGGCGAAACAGGUCUGGGCUAAGUUAGGUUUGCAUCAAGUGAUCAAUACAGCUUGUGCUGUCGACCGGGCAGGAGAGGCAGUUCUUGAAUUUUUACUACUUAUGUGAGAUCAAGAAAUAUUUGAAUUGGGCAUCCAGAACGCACGUGAAUUGAUCGCAAUAACAACUUGGUAUUUAUGGUGGGAUAGA
rnacentral:rRNA from 1 species